AUUUAAUUAUUUUCAUUGCCCUUUCCUACCUUGAUGUUUUGCUGACAUUGUCAAUAAUUUAUAGUAAACCCAGUCACACCCAGCACAGAGAUGCUGUAACCACAUGCUACAGACUCAACUGACCCAAACUUAAUUGUUCUGCAUCCAUGUUCAUGCUUCUCCCCAGGAGGUCCCCAGUCAACAGACCACAGAAACUGGGCCCUGGAACAGCCCACAGAGCCACCACACACCAAGCCUCAGAGUAUGCUAGUCUCUGGGCAGCACUCCAGUGCUCAUAGUAAAAAUGAUCUCUCACACAUUGUAUCUUUCCUCCCUUCAAUACCUACAUUCAACUUUUUCAUCAAUCGAUAGACUAUUCCAGGGGUUCUUCUCCUUCUCUUUCAAGGCCUUCUGGCUGGCAGAAAGAUUCUUGACGUGGGCCACAUCGGGCAAGGGAUAGUCACGUCGAUCAACAUAAGCCGGGAG